GUCAUAGCGUGCAGGGUCACUCAUUCGAUCACUUCACACCGUGACAGCAAGGAGACGACAACAUGGACGGUCUGCAGGUGAGCAUUGCAUGUCUGCUGGUGAAGAUGACCUUUGUACAAGGGGUUGCAGGGAGCUGUCCCACCUGUGCACCAGGUUUCUUCCUAGUGAAGAACUGCUCCAAGACUGUAGGGAUCGGGUGCAAAGACUGUACUGAUUGCUCGGCUUUACAUCGGGACACUCUAUCUGAGUGCACGCAGUGGACUGAUGCUGUGUGCGGGAACCAAACUGUGACCACGGUGACAGUCACCACGGUGACCACUGCUGGACCUCCUGUCUUCCCUGGUGAAAUGUGGAUCAUCCUAAGUGUGAUAUCAGUGUCUGUGUUCCUGGUUCUGGUGCUCGCUCUGGUUCUCUCAAUGCUAUCCCAGCGGUACAAGCAAAAGAAAGCUUUGUACCUGCCCUGAAUGAAAGCAAGUCAUUCUGAAUGCCUCUCAGCACCAACGUCUUAGGGACAAGCCACUGUCCAUGAUGGCCAAAGCAGCAGAUCCAGCUCUCAGAAACCAGAAACGUGGAGUCCAGGUCCAGGGCAGGUUUAGAGUCCAGGUCCUGGGUGGAUUAAAGACCAGGUCCAGGCCGGGCUCAUGAGUCCAGGUCCAGGUCGAGCUCAUCAUUCCAGGUCCUGAGUGGAUCAGAGUCCAGGUCCUGGGUGGGAUUAAAGUCCAGGUCCUGUCCGGGGUCAGAGUCCACCUGUAGACUGGUUUGAUCCACCCAUUAUACUUCACAUCGAGGCCACCCUAUAAGAAUACAAAUGUAGACCAGGUGUAGACUAGGUGUAGUUCAGGUGUGAAGUAAGGUUAGAUUCCAGGUGUAAGACAGGUGUAGACUAGUUGUAGCCAGAUGUGGCGUAACUGUAGACUAGACGUAGUCCAAGUCCUAGGAAGAAUUUAAUUUCAGGUGAAGUCUGGGUCCACUUCAUUAACACGUAGCCCAGGUGUAGCUCAGAUGUAGCUCACACAUAGACCAGGUGUAGCUCAGGUGUAGAGAAAGUGCAGCUCGGAUGUAGCUCACACAUAGACCAGGUGUAGCUCAGGUGUAGAGAAAGUGCAGCUCGGAUGUAGCUCACACAUAGACCAGGUGUAGCUCAGGUGUAGAGAAAGUGUAGCUCGGGUGUAGCUCACACAUAGACCAGGUGUAGCUCAGGUGUAGAGAAAGUGCAGCUCGGAUGUAGCUCACACAUAGACCAGGUGUAGCUCAGGUGUAGAGAAAGUGCAGCUCGGGUGUAGCUCACACAUAGACCAGGUGUAGCUCAGGUGUAGAGAAAGUGCAGCUCGGGUGUAGCUCAGGUGUAGAGAAAGUGCAGCUCGGGUGUAGCUCACACAUAGACCAGGUGUAGCUUGGGUCUAUAAAAUAAGUCUGUAAUUUGUCACAGCUCACCCAGAACCCCCCCACCCCCACCCCAGCAUCCUCCCGAUCAGCUGUUUCAUUUCCUAUAUGUCCCAUAAUGCAACUUUACCUCUGCAGAGGCGUCAAACUGAGAGUAACGUGUGUAAAAUCAGUGGAAUGACCUUUAACCCUUUCACUGUGAGUGUGAGAUGUCUGGAUGAGCUAUUUCAGUCAGUAGUGAUGCUUAUUUAUUGAUUCUGGAUCAAUAAAUCUGAUCACCUCUGUAAACUGAACGUGUUGUAAACCUAAAUCUCUUUUAAAUGUUGAAGUCAUUAUGUACUUGUGUGCUCCUGUUUAUUCAGAAAUCUGUGACAGUUUUAUACUUUAAACUUUCUUUGGUACUUCAGGUGUGUAUUAGAUAAUCUGCUGUAUGAACAGAGUGUGUGUUUGUAUCACAUAAUAAACUCUAAACUAAAAACAUAA
ensembl:lncRNA